rnacentral:rRNA from 1 species
UACGAAGGGGGCUAGCGUUGCUCGGAAUCACUGGGCGUAAAGGGUGCGUAGGCGGGUCUUUUAAGUCAGGGGUGAAAUCCUGGAGCUCAACUCCAGAACCGCCUUUGAUACUGAAGAUCUUGAGUUCGGGAGAGGUGAGUGGAACUGCGAGUGUAGAGGUGAAAUUCGUAGAUAUUCGCAAGAACACCAGUGGCGAAGGCGGCU